GGAGAGAUGGCUCAGUGGUUAGAGCACCGGCUGCUCUUCCAGAGGUCCUGAGUUCAAAUCCCAGUAACCCCA
rnacentral:tRNA from 1 species